UAACAAUGUGUAUCAAUAGAUCUACAACAUCUGUUACAAAAUACAAAUCACAAACCUCUGAAAAUCCUCUUGGAAAAAAAAAAACCACACACUAAAAAUAAUUUAAAGAAAAAAAAAAAGAGAAGAAAAAAGAGUAAACAUAUCCUCACUGAGUAAUAAAUUAGCCCAUUAAGGGCCUGACUUAUUCCCCACAAACUUGGUGAAAAGGAAUAUUGAAAAACUUACAGCAUCAAAAGCCCUAACCACAAACUUAACACCACAGCAACAAGUCUUCCACCAUCAAAUCUCACACCAGCAUUUUCAUCAGCUGCUUGAUCAGUUGGGUCAUCAGCCGGUGCAUCUGCUGGUGAGUCUGAUGGUGCUGAAGACAGGUCCUUGCUCUUACUAGAUUUUGGUGCAUCUGCGGCUUUCUCUGGGGCAGGUGCUGGAGCAGGAGUUGGUGCUUCUGCCUUGAACAGCUCUUUAGGCAACAAAACCUUGUUAAUGGUAAAUACAGCAACUGGCUGCUCAUCUAUCAAAGUCCCAAUAAUUUUUGCUGUGGUACUCCUUGUCUUCAAUGUCACAUCCUCACCAUCAUUUUGCACUGUGAAAUCAAACUUGUUUGCCCCAUCAGUAGCCAGAGUGUUCAUGAGACCAUUGUUGGAUUUUAGCAUGGAUAGAGAUUGAUAGACAGGUACACCAAAGAAUUCAAGUAAUGAUGUUUUGCCUGCUGCUGUUAAGUUCUUGAAUUUGGGUAGGAAAGCUUUGAAUGGAUCAUCAAGAGGGCAAAACACUGUUAAUCCUCCAUCAAGAUUGUCCUGAUAUGUCUUUGAAGCUUCAUGAUUUGCCAGUAAAGUAUCAGCGAAAACCUUACAACCAUGAGCCGACAUUAUGUCAGUCAAGUUCAUCUGGCUCGGUCCCGGCGUCGGAGCCUCUGCCACGUCCGACGGCAAAACCUUGCUGAUCUGUAUAACCGAAAUGUUAUAAGGCACUUCCUCCAAAGAUUUCACAAAGUACACAUCAAGACUCCCUCCGUU
rnacentral:misc_RNA from 1 species